rnacentral:lncRNA from 1 species
UCCUCCUCUAGAUCUCCUCUUACUUUGGAGUGUCCAAGUUGCAUGAAGAAGAAGAAAGAGAUCAGCUGUCGAAGUUGCUUACAGACUAGCAUCUCUAAGCCCCCGAUCUGCAUCAGUCUUCACAUAGAUUUUUUGUAGAGGCCAGACAACUUUGUAUGGCUGUGAAUGACCUAAGAAACAUCCUCUCCAAGCAUUGGAUCAGAAGAGAUCAAGAUCUAAUUUGUUUGGUAACAAUCCUUAACUUGUCUUGAUCAUACUGAUAGGUUUAAUAGUUAGAUCUAGGAUUUCAAUAUCGAUAUGAUUUU